rnacentral:rRNA from 1 species
AGGCAAUAACAGCUUUGUGAUGCCCUUAGAUGUUGUGGGCCGCACGCGCGAUACCAUGAACAAGUCAACGAGUUAUCAUCCUUGGCCGGAAGGUCUGGGUAAUCUUGUGAAACUUCAUCGUGCUGGGGAUAGAGCAUUGCAAUUAUUGGUCUUCAACGAGGAAUUCCUAGUAAGCGAGAGUCAUCAGCUUGCGUUGAUUACGUCCCUGCCCUUUGUACACACCGCCCGUCGCUACUACCGAUUGAAUGGCUUAGUGA